GAUGAACGCUGGCGGCGUGCCUAAUACAUGCAAGUCGAGCGAACAGAUAAGGAGCUUGCUCCUUUGAAGUUAGCGGCGGACGGGUGAGUAACACGUGGGUAACCUACCUAUAAGACUGGGAUAACUUCGGGAAACCGGAGCUAAUACCGGAUAACAUUUAGAACCGCGUGGUUCUAAAGUGAAAGAUGGUUUUGCUAUCACUUAUAGAUGGACCCGCGCCGUAUUAGCUAGUUGGUAAGGUAACGGCUUACCAAGGCGACGAUACGUAGCCGACCUGAGAGGGUGAUCGGCCACACUGGAACUGAGACACGGUCCAGACUCCUACGGGAGGCAGCAGUAGGGAAUCUUCCGCAAUGGGCGAAAGCCUGACGGAGCAACGCCGCGUGAGUGAUGAAGGGUUUCGGCUCGUAAAACUCUGUUAUUAGGGAAGAACAAAUGUGUAAGUAACUGUGCACAUCUUGACGGUACCUAAUCAGAAAGCCACGGCUAACUACGUGCCAGCAGCCGCGGUAAUACGUAGGUGGCAAGCGUUAUCCGGAAUUAUUGGGCGUAAAGCGCGCGUAGGCGGUUUCUUAAGUCUGAUGUGAAAGCCCACGGCUCAACCGUGGAGGGUCAUUGGAAACUGGGAAACUUGAGUGCAGAAGAGGAAAGUGGAAUUCCAUGUGUAGCGGUGAAAUGCGCAGAGAUAUGGAGGAACACCAGUGGCGAAGGCGACUUUCUGGUCUGUAACUGACGCUGAUGUGCGAAAGCGUGGGGAUCAAACAGGAUUAGAUACCCUGGUAGUCCACGCCGUAAACGAUGAGUGCUAAGUGUUAGGGGGUUUCCGCCCCUUAGUGCUGCAGCUAACGCAUUAAGCACUCCGCCUGGGGAGUACGACCGCAAGGUUGAAACUCAAAGGAAUUGACGGGGACCCGCACAAGCGGUGGAGCAUGUGGUUUAAUUCGAAGCAACGCGAAGAACCUUACCAAAUCUUGACAUCCUUUGAAAACUCUAGAGAUAGAGCCUUCCCCUUCGGGGGACAAAGUGACAGGUGGUGCAUGGUUGUCGUCAGCUCGUGUCGUGAGAUGUUGGGUUAAGUCCCGCAACGAGCGCAACCCUUAAGCUUAGUUGCCAUCAUUAAGUUGGGCACUCUAGGUUGACUGCCGGUGACAAACCGGAGGGAGGUGGGGAUGACGUCAAAUCAUCAUGCCCCUUAUGAUUUGGGCUACACACGUGCUACAAUGGACAAUACAAAGGGCAGCUAAACCGCGAGGUCAUGCAAAUCCCAUAAAGUUGUUCUCAGUUCGGAUUGUAGUCUGCAACUCGACUACAUGAAGCUGGAAUCGCUAGUAAUCGUGGAUCAGCAUGCUACGGUGAAUACGUUCCCGGGUCU
rnacentral:rRNA from 1 species